AUGUCACUCAAAUGGUGUAUGAUUCCUCACCAAGGCAUAUGGUAAGAGUUGCCUUCUCUAUUUCAUCCUAUUUCUAAAAGGCUUAUGUGGAGUUCAAGGUAGGGAUGAAAGGAGAUAGCAUACUUACUUUGCAUGUAUUGCGAAGUCAAAGCUCGGAUCCUUGAAGAGAAGUGUCAUACUCCCAGAUCAAGAUGUGCAAGUGUGAUAUAUGGUGGACUAGGUUGCUCCUUUAUUUGAUAGACUCUCUAUGUAUUGAGACAUGGCUAGCAUUUUUUUCUUCUUUUUUUUUAUAUAUAUGAGCUUUCAUGUGCUCAAUUUUCUUUUUCUGUGGACUUGCACAUGUCCAUCUUUUUAUUUCAUUUUGCCUAGCCCUUUUGAUGUCUCAUUUACCAAAUAAUGCUUAGAGAGAUGUUCUAACAUUUAGAGUAUGGAGCAACCUAUUUAGUGGAUGUGAAAUACAUGUGGUUGCGUACUUCUAGUGUAGAAGCAGCAUAUAUAUAUGUGGUGUGUACGUGAUCUUGAUCUUAGGAGCAUGAAAAGUCUCUUAACAAGGGUCAACAAGACUUGACGACACUCAACACAAAGCAAAUAGCUUAUGUGGAAAGGUUGCAAUUAUGUAAAGUAGAUAUGGCUAUGGUAGGAAUUCAUCACCAUUGAGGAACAAUUAAGGUUUUGAUCAUUUUAAGAAUAAAUCUCUGAUAAUCAUGCAUGCUUAGAAAAAUAUUAUAGUAGCUCUUGUCUUACUAUCUCAUGUCCCACAACAACUUAGACUUAGUUCUAGCACUUGCAACCCACAAAGUUUUUAGGUUCAUGGCAGUUUAAGUGAGCUAAGUGAUCCAUACUUAGAGAAAUACUAAGUUGUAUACUAGGCACUAGAGAAACAUUAACAAGCAACUAGUCAUAAUUUCCAUGAGGGAUAUAAACAUACAUGAAGCAUAUAUGCUAAAGGGAAAUGCUAAUAAAUAUUUAUUAUUAUUUUUUUUUAGUAAGAAUGAUAAAAUGCAUGAAAAUAAAUAGGAUAGAAUACUUACCUUAGUGGGGGAGAGGAUCUCCCCCAAGCUAGAUCUUCGCUCACUGUGGUGGCGGGAAAUUCUGGUACCAUCCAGCCCAGCGUUGU
rnacentral:lncRNA from 1 species